ACUCAUCUAGCUCAGUUGGUAGAGUGCAAGUCUUUUAAUCUUGAGGUUGUGGGUUCGAGUCUCAUGGUGGGCG
rnacentral:tRNA from 1 species